rnacentral:sRNA from 1 species
CCGAUGUUAUUGGUGGGUUCAGUAAAAAUUCCACUUAAAAAAAAGGCUAAAUCAAGUGAAUAUCAGAAAAGAAAUUCCCUCUUGACUAAGCUGGUUGUGGUGGUGUGACAGUUGUUGAUCAACAUGAAUUUUAGUAUUGUCUCGUGACUGUGAAGUUGAUCUUUCUUGCUGAACAUUUUAACUACUUUACGAUCGAUGAUUCUUUCCCAGUUGGCAUGAGUUAUAAUGGUACAUUUCUUUUAUUAUUCUUUAGAUAGAACUAUGGAAGGAUAAAAAGAAAGAAGAAGGAAAUUAAGAGAACAGUUCCACACCAAUCCAAUAGUUGCAGGUGGAAGAGCGUAUUGAA